ensembl:lincRNA uncharacterized LOC101685748
GACAGGGGGAGCGGGACCCAACCCAGACGGGGCAGCCUUUUCUUGACCUGUAUGGGGGGUGUGGGAGCUGGUCGUGGCUGGAACCCCCUGCCGAUGGGCGAAGCGUGGAUAACCCACAGAGGAAGAAACUAGUGUUUCUCGCUCAAGUAUUUCAACCAAGUUUUUUUCUUUUGCCUUUCGGGUUUUUCUGUCAUGAAUAUUUAUUAUAGAUGUCAUAUGCCAAACACCAUAGUAGGUGCUUCACUUACGCGAUCUCAAAUUCGCCGACAACCUUGCUGCUGGGCACGUGUUGGAGGAGGCCCAGUUUGUGGACGAGGAGACUGAGGCCCAAGCUCAACCUUCUGGAUGAAGACAUCGCUGUUUGGGAGAAAACCCGCAAUCCAAGGGAUAAAAAUGGAAAGUGAAAAGUUCAAGAAAUCAAUUAGCUGGCUUGAGUCUGCUGAGAAAUUCAGGACAACGUUCAGGGCUGAAAUUUACGAAGUAAAUCAACAUAAUAUGAAGAAGUAAAUUAACCCAGAAUGUCACAAUGAAUGGAUAGUUCCCAUGUAACCUCAUAAAUUUCCUGCUUGAUGGAUUUCAAGUCUCUGAUUUCUAAUAAAA